rnacentral:rRNA from 1 species
AAUAGCUCACUAGUCGAGUCGGCCUGCGCGGAAGAUGUAACGGGGCUCAAACUGGAUACCGAAGCUGCGGAUGUGCACUUAGUGCACGUGGUAGGGGAGCGUUGUGUAAGUCUGUGAAGGUGUGUUGAGAAGCAUGCUGGAGAUAUCACAAGUGCGAAUGCUGACGUGAGUAACGAUAAUGGGAGUGAAAAACUCCCACGCCGAAAGACCAAGGUUUCCUGCGCAACGCUAAUCGGCGCAGGGUGAGUCGGCCCCUAAGGCGAGGCAGAAAUGCGUAGCUGAUGGGAAACGGGUUAAUAUUCCCGUACUUCUUAUAACUGCGAUGGAGAGACGGAGAAGGCUAUGCCUACCGGGCGUUGGUUGUCCCGGGGAAAGGCUGUAGGCUGAGGUGUUAGGCAAAUCCGGCACCUUAAGGCUGAGAGUCGAGACCACUGGUCCUUUGUGACCGGGAAGUGGUUGAUGCCAUGCUUCCAGGAAAAUCUUCUAAGCUUCAGGUUAUAAGGAACCGUACCCCAAACCGACACAGGUGGUUGGGAUGAGUAUUCUAAGGCGCUUGAGAGAACUCGGGUGAAGGAACUAGGCAAAGUGGUACCGUAACUUCGGGAGAAGGUACGCCGCUGACGGUGAUGAGACUUGCUCUCUGAGCUAUUGGCGGUCGCAGUGAAAAGGCCCCUGCAACUGUUUAUUAAAAACACAGCACUCUGCAAACGCGUAAGCGGACGUAUAGGGUGUGACGCCUGCCCGGUGCCGGAAGGUUAAUUGAUGGGGUUAGCUUCGGCGAAGCUCUUGAUCGAAGCCCCGGUAAACGGCGGCCGUAACUAUAACGGUCCUAAGGUAGCGAAAUUCCUUGUCGGGUAAGUUCCGACCUGCACGAAUGGCGUAAUGAUGGGGGCGCUGUCUCCACCCGAGACUCAGUGAAAUCGAAAUCGCAGUGAAGAUGCUGUGUACCCGCGGCUAGACGGAAAGACCCCGUGAACCUUUACUAUAGCUUCACAGUGGACUUUGAACCUGUUUGUGUAGGAUAGCUGGGAGACUUUGAAGCAGUGACGCUAGUUAUUGUGGAGUCGUCCUUGAAAUACCAGCCUGGCAUGUUUGAGGUUCUAACCUAGGUCCCUUAUCGGGAUCGGGGACAUUGUGUGGUGGGUAGUUUGACUGGGGCGGUCUCCUCCCAAAGAGUAACGGAGGAGCACAAAGGUACCCUCAGCACGGUCGGACAUCGUGCAACGAGCGUAAAGGUAGAAGGGUGCUUGACUGCGAGACCUACAAGUCGAGCAGGUGCGAAAGCAGGUCUUAGUGAUCCGGUGGUUCUGUAUGGAAGGGCCAUCGCUCAACGGAUAAAAGGUACU